AAUGUUGUUAUUAACACUGUA
rnacentral:miRNA from 2 species